GAUGAAGAACGUAGCGAAAUGCGAUACUUGGUGUGAAUUGCAGAAUCCCGUGAACCAUCGAGUCUUUGAACGCAAGUUGCGCCCGAAGCCACUAGGCCGAGGGCACGCCUGCCUGGGCGUCACACGCCGUUGCCCCCCCAUCUACUCCUUCGGGAUUGCGGGGGGGCGGAUGAUGGCCUCCCGUGCGCCUAGCCGCGCGGUUGGCAUAAAUACCAAGUCCUCGGCGACGCACGCCACGACAAUCGGUGGUUGCGAAACCUCGGUUGCCCGUCGUGUGCGUUCGUCGCGCAUCGAGGGCUCGAAAAAAUGCUCGGCUCCGGCAGGGCUUUCAACGCGACCCCAGGUCAGGCGGGGUUACCCGCUGAAUUUAAGCAUAUCAAUAAGCGGAGGA
rnacentral:misc_RNA from 1 species